CCAAGAUUCGGUAUUUUAGUAGGGAGCAGGCGCUGUGGAGGGCUUAGAGCUUGGUCAGACAUCAAAGAUGCCAAUGUCAUCCACUGUGUCCUGGGCCCGUCGACAGUUGUCCUGACUUUUGUCUUGCCACCGGACUUCAGUGACUCUGGAACGGAGAGCGAGGCUCUGCAACUCUGUCUCACUUAAAGAAUUCAUGUGCCAGUCAAGACAUGAUCCCAUGAUGUCACUGAUCCUCUUCAAAAACAAAGGACACGCAGCAACAACAGCACAGUGCCUGGCACAGAACCCUGUCCUCUUCCAAGCAGCCCUAUUUCUGCCAAAGGCACCACCAUCCUCCCAGUCCUCAAGACUCACGAUGGCACAUAAACAAAAGUGAGACACAUCUGUGUGCUUGAGAUUUCUUAGGGUAAGUAGACACUACAGAUGGCUACGGAAGUCUACAUACAAAGAAGAGAACCAUGGGCUCCCAAAGAGCACUAUAACCUCAUCAACUCAUUGUAUCUGAGAAAGCUUUCAACUAUGAUUUGACCUACGGCUGAACCUUACUUCUCCUGAGGAACAGCAUUGGUUAGUUUCCUGAUCUGCAGCCUUCUGAUAAACCCUGUGGUCUCACUAUGGAGUGUUGUGGGCUACAUGAAUCAACAUUGACACUGUUGACUGAGCAUUCUUUGCAGUAGUGGGAGAAAAUCACCUAAGCCCUCUCAGACAUGCUGCAGUCUGGUGCAUUCUGAGAUUCAGCUGACAUUGAGAAUGAAUGCUUUUCUCUCCCUGAAGCAAUUUUCUCUUCCUCAGCACUCGAAUGUAAGGAAAUCCUCACGGCAUCUGGAACACUUCUGCCCCACCCUGGACUCCAUCGUUGGGUGUUGAAUGCCUACACUGCACACUGAGUGAAGAGAAGAUAAAAGAGCUUUUUGCUCCCUGUCUGUUUGAGUUAGGAAACAUUUUCUGACUCUUGAGGUUUACACUGAAGAAGAACUGCCAGGUUUAUCAAAAGGGCCAGUUCAAUUUGAGAAAAUUGUUUAGUGCAGAGUGUUGACUUAAUAGGGUCUAAAAGUAGAAAGCUGAGUGCCAGCAGAGAUUGGAAAAAAUAAGCAGGUGUUGUCACUGCAGGAAUACAUAAACCCCCAAGUUAUUCACAUAGCCUAUGUGAUUCAUACAGGCUACCUGCUCACUUUAGUGGUAUUAUAAACUAAAACAUGAAAGUUCUGAGUGAUGAGGCAGUAAGAGGGCUAAGGGAGAAAAUGACCAAGUUAUUAGUGGGUUGGGCUACCUCCAAGUUUUCUACGUGGGUUUGGGCUAAUAUGUGGUUUCUUCAGUGACAGAAGAGUCACUUUUGAAGUUCAUGUCCUCUGAACAGUACUUGACAAUGGUGAGAUAUAGAUUGUAAUUUUCCAAGAUUAGGUAUACUGAGGCAUAAUAGAAAGAGGUCAAGACACCACAAACUAUGGGUUCCUGGAGCAUCCUGAUACAGAAAGUUUGCCUCAACUCUCACCCUCCUACAUCAGGGUUCUAAGAUACCCUGAGGGAUACUGGGAGUGUCUGUACUAGACUGUAUUCCCUGACUCAUUAUUAGGUUCCAGGAACUUUUGUCCCACUUCCAUUUAACAACUUAACAUCAAAUAGUUUUCACAAAAGGAUGUUUACUUUCAAGAUAUAGUAAGGAAACAGAGUGAACAUUACCCCCUAGUUCUUAGGGGAGUACUCUCACUUGUGCUACAUCACUCUCUUGAGGAAUAGGCUCAGAAUACUUAGCUCAGUUUGUAUUUAGCACUGUUCCUACUACGAUGAGGUGCAAUGCCAGAUGAAUGUUCUCAGAUUCCACUGGCCUGGGUCUAGUAAAUCACUCCUGAAAGUCACACCUUGAUCCUUGGAUCAUUGAAGCUGGACUGGCUAUAAAAUCCAGUCUAGACACUAAGUCCUUUAUUCCUCUGAUUCACUCUUCUGAAACUCACAAGUCAAAGACUCUACUUUCUUCACCUAUAAGAAGAAAAAAAAAAGAACAAAAGCACAGGCCAAUGGCCAAAGCCCAUUUUUCAGGGCAUAUGACCUGAAAGGCCUGAAGGUCUCUCCUCUUAUAGAGUCUCUCAUCACGAGUGAAGGAGUUACCAAAUCAGAUAAUAUGAGCCAGCAGUUUUUUGAAAAUAUCCCAAGUUUUCGCUACUCAUCGUGUUGAAAAAUAAUCCUCUCAACCAAGUGGUUGGAAAAUGGGAACCAUGUCUGCACAUGCUGUAUAGUCUCUUCCAUUACAAGUCACCAAGGCUUUCCCAGAAGCAGGCUCCCAACCUCUCCACAUGGACAGACACCAUCCAAAGUAUUGUGUUUGCACCAGAAACCUAUUACAUACACAUAAGAGAUUUUACUUGAUAUGACAGUAAACAAGAUGGAAAAGAAGAGAGAACUUUGAAAAUAGGAAAUGGGAGGAUCAGAGGCAAAAAGAAGUUGGAUGAAUGGGGAACAUAGACCUAUGGAGACAGGAGUCAAAUCACUCAGCAAUGAAUCAGCAGCAAUAUGGGAUUAUACUUACUUAUCCAGGCUGCCAAUCUGGAGUAAACUUUUCAAAAAUCAAAUCUAACAAUACUUGAGGGAAGUACUAGAGAGGCAGCAUAGCCUGGUAGAUGAAAAAAUAGCUUCACACUCAAGGAGACCCUGGUUCAAGUCUUGCCUGUGACACAUACUGGCUAGGUUACCCUGGGCAAAUGAUUUAAUCUCUCAUUACCUCAGGCAACUCUCUGAUAAAACUAUAAUUUGCAGGGCAAUUGCUGAUCUGCUAGUAGAGAGAGUUUCCUUGUUGGGAGUUCCCUAAAGCAAUAAAAACAUAGCUUCAAAUACCAAAUAGCUUGGAAAAAUAAGGAAAGGAAAAUGCUAGCAUUAGAAUCUGAAAAGUAAAACUGAAGGGAUCAAUCUUUAAAGGAUUUAUUGAAUAUCAACUAUAUGCCCAGCACUGAGUGUUCCUGAAGAAGCAAAAGACAGGAUCCCUGGAUUUAGUGCAUGUUGAAUGUUAUAUAGAGUAUGAAAAGAGAAAAUACAUGGAAGAUUAUAGGCUUUUUAAGCACAAGGGUCUUGCCUAGUAUAAAGCAGCCCCAAAGAACCCAGCAUAUUGUCAGGGACCAUACUCAGCAAACAGUUGUUCUAUGUAUGUGUUGGGGAGUAGGCUUGAUACAUGUUUUUAAAUAAUAGGGGUUUUUUUGAGUAAAAGUCUGUGAUAUAUUUGUUUAACAGUAGAAAAUAGAAAUAAAAACAAAAGCCAAUGACAAAUGAUCAGUAGUCAUUAACAAAUUCUUAAUCACUGUAAUGUUGUAUUCCUUCUACUCGCCCUUCACUGCCUUGUCCUGGCAGAGGAACUUACAUAGUUCAAUGAAACUUUGAGCUAUGCUGUACAAGAUUAAUCAAGAUGGAAAGGUCAUAGUGGAGAAUUCUGACAGAAGAUGAUUCCCUGGAGAAGGAAAUGACAAACUGCUCCAGUAUCUUUGCCAAGAAAAUUCCCAUAGACAGCACUAAAAUGAUAAAAGAGAUGACAUUGGAAAAUGAGCCCUUCAGAUUGGAAGGUGUCCCACACACUACUGGGGAAGAAUGGAAGACAACUACAUGUAGCUCCAGUACUCAUGAAGUGUUUGGGCCAAAACUGAAUGGAACCUCAGCUGUGGAUGAAUAAGGGGGAGGGGGAUUUUAAGUCAGUCAACACUUAAACAAAUUAAUUCAGGCUCUUCACUAGAAGGACAAAUAAUAAAGCUGAAGCUUGAAAACUUUGGCCACGUAAUGAGAAGAUGAGACUCAAUGGAAAAGCCCCUGAUGCUGAGCAAGAUUCAAGGCAGAGGAAAAGGAUAUGGCAGAUAAUGAGAUGGAUAGAUGAAAACAGUGAACAUGAACUUUGACAGACUUCAAGAGAUAGUGGAGGAUAGAAGGGCCUGCAUGUUAUGGUCCAUGGGGUCCUGAAGAAUCAGACAUGACUAAAGGAUUGAACCACAACAAAAAAUGUUGCACGGGCCAAUGGCAGUUCAGUCUCUAUGAGUACAAACAGAAUGCUUGGCCUGAAGCAAUCCUAACAGUUGAUCCCAAUCUCUCCUGGAGAUGCCCCCAAGUGAUAGAGGGCAGAAUGUGCCCCAAGGUAUUGAGGGAAAAUGGACUUCAGUUUCUGUCAUAUCUUCUCAGUAAAAAUCUCUUUGUAAAAGCUAAUUGAUGUUAACUAG